rnacentral:rRNA from 1 species
GAUGAACGCUAGCGGCAGGCCUAACACAUGCAAGUCGAGGGGUAGAAUUAGCUUGCUAAUUUGAGACCGGCGCACGGGUGCGUAACGCGUAUGCAAUCUGCCUUGUACUGAGGGAUAGCCCAGAGAAAUUUGGAUUAAUACCUCAUAGUAUUAUGAUGUGGCAUCACAUUAUAAUUAAAGUUCCAACGGUACAAGAUGAGCAUGCGUCCCAUUAGUUAGUUGGUAAGGUAACGGCUUACCAAGACGAUGAUGGGUAGGGGUCCUGAGAGGGGGACCCCCCAGACUGGUACUGCGACACGGACCAGACUCCGACGGGAGGCAGGAGUGAGGAAUAUUGGUCAAUGGGCGCAAGCCUGAACCAGCCAUGCGGCGUGCAGGAUGACGGUCCUAUGGAUUGUAAACUGCUUUUAUACGGGAAGAAACACUCCUACGUGUAGGAACUUGACGGUACCGUAAGAAUAAGGAUCGGCUAACUCCGUGCCAGCCGCCGCGGUAAAAC